GGUACCUUAGCUCAGAUGGUAGAGCAACGGACUGAAAAUCCGUGUGUCCCCAGUUCGAUUCUGGGAGGUACCA
rnacentral:tRNA from 3 species